rnacentral:rRNA from 1 species
GAUGAACGCUAGCGGCAGGCCUAAUACAUGCAAGUCGAGGGGUAAAUAUGUAGCAAUAUAUAUGAGACCGGCGCACGGGUGCGUAACACGUAUGCAACCUACCUUUUACUGGGGAAUAGCUCAGAGAAAUCUGAAUUAAUACCCCAUAACACUGCAGAAUGGCAUCAUUUUGCAUUUAAAGCUCCGGCGGUAAAAGAUGGGCAUGCGGAACAUUAGCUAGUUGGUGAGGUAAUGGCUCACCAAGGCUACGAUGUUUAGGGGGUCUGAGAGGAUGAUCCCCCACACGGGUACUGAGACACGGACCAGACUCCUACGGGAAGCAGCAGUAGGGGAUAUUGGGCAAUGGACGAAAGUCUGACCCAGCCAUGCCGCGUGCAGGAUGAAUGUCCUAUGGAUUGUAAACUGCUUUUAUAUGGGAAGAAACCCCUGGAUGCGUCCGGGGCUGACGGUACCAUUUGAAUAAGGAUCGGCUAACUUCGUGCCAGCCGCCGCGGUAAAAC